ensembl:lncRNA
UCAACACUUUUACUCGUUUCCUACCAAUGUUUUUGUUGCCUGACCUUUCAACUCUCAGUUCAUUGCCAGUACCAGCUGCCUCGUUCUGAACUUGAAAAUAAGUUUGAGAACACAAACAAUCGUAUGAGAUCAUAUUUGUUGAAAAGGGACAAUCCACAGUUACGUCACUGCAUCUCACCUUACCAUGUCAACAAGUUUUUAAGGCAGGGCACAUGUGUUUUUGUACCCAAUUCUCAACCCAAGUUUAAUUUCCUGUAAAAGGGAAAUUCCUGUUAUGGGCUAUUCUUUUAAAUCAUUCCGAAAACAAAUAAUCAAUGAAAGGAAAACAUGUACUGAAGUGUGCCCUUUGUGCUUUGAACUUAAAUUGGACCAUUGUUGUAUUUCACAUUUUGGACCGAAGCGAGAGUCCACUCACAGUGCCUUGGCCACCACGAUCCCUCCCAGCUACUCCCUCCCAGUCCUCCUCCCAGCUACUGCCGGAUUCUUCUUCCAUGCUCUUCCAAGAAGGCCUGGGUCCAAGAUCAGGCUCCUCUUCAGUCUUUUAAGUGUGGAAUCAGCUCCAGGGAAUCCACACAAACGCACGGAUACUUGAAGUCACGACUAUUAACAUCUAUUUUCUUCUCAAAGAAGAAAGGUACCUUGUGCGCAUGAGACUAAGGAGACGGUUUCGCUUUGUUUAAAGGCAUUUUUGAAAAUCAGUCAGUUUUGAAACAUGACACAUGCAUUUUUCCCCUACCAGUUUUUAAGAAAAGGUUAAAAAUGCAAAGGGUGUGCAGCUCAAUGCGUUAUAAUCCAUCCAAAUGAAAGCAUCUGGUGAAGUAACAAAGUACAGCAUAGACUGUUCCAGGGCUCGAGGGGAGAAACCUACGGAGUCUCCUUCUCCCAGUCUGAUCUACAGCAGAAUCUGAUAAAUGGAAGCUGUUUGUGUUGAAAACAUGGCAUGAUGACUCAUAUUUUCAUGCAAAACAUGGUAUCUCUGCACCACUAAUACUGUCCUGCAGAUAUGACCAUUACAGACACAUCAAGGGGUCAGUUUUUGGUACUUUCUGCUGUCUUUGGAUGUUCUUGGGGGGUGAGGGGUUGUGUGUUGCUUUUAUUACAACUGUAAAGGUGCUGUAACAAUGUGUUAUGUAGCUGCACUUACGGUGCAACAUUAAAUAUAUCUGUCUAUUUUGAACCGCUGUGUAGCAUUUCGCAUUUUUUGUAGGACUUUUCCAUUCUUGUUUGUUACUGCUCUGAUUACAUACACUGUGACUGAUCUCGCUGAAUUUGAUCGCUUGUUUCGUCAUUAUUUCAUUCAAUUUUAAUUUGGACUGUUUUAUGUGAAACACUGAGGAUCAGGGAACCCAUAUGGAGCUACGUAAAUAAAGUUAAAUUGUCACAGGAGACUGAUUGCAUUGAGUUGGAUUUGGGUGUCAUUCAUUAUAGAAGCAGAGAAGAAACUCAGGAUCUGAAACUCGAUCUGAGCAGCAGGCCUGAGGUAGAGAAAGGCUGGAAGAGAAUGAAAGGAAAGAGGAAGAGGUCACACUGGGAAAACGAGGCAGACGGGGCAUGCGGUAAUGAUGGAGACAAUAAUACCUGGAUAAAUCAAUUAGAUUUAGGCACGACUGUGUUGGUCUAGUAAUAUAUUUACUAACAAUGUUUAAGGCCACUGCCUACCCUGGAAGAGGUUCUCAUCUGUAUUUUAUAAAAACAGAUUCACAAUCAAGCCUGUCAGCAGCACACAAAGCCCUAUUGUGGUUUAUUUUGUACACAUGGAAAUCAGUGCGGCAUUGAAUCGUCUGCUGAUGACCUGAAAUGCCAACUCUGGACUCCUAUCACAGGAUGAUUUCCCAUGUUAGUGUAACCAGGCUACAAAAACUAAGGAGUCCAUGCUGGCCCAAUAUGUGAUACUUACAAAUAAUAAUAAUAAUAAUAAUAUCAUCACCCAGUGAAGUCAGUUGAAGUAAAAGAAAGAAAUACUCGUGUCAGAAUGACAACUUGCAGUUAAAUAUUUUUGCGUUAUUUUAAUUUUAUACAAUAUUCCUGGGGUGGCACGGUGGCGUGGUGGGUAGCGCUGUCGCCUCACAGUGAGGAGGGCCUGGGUUCGAUUCCCUGGCUGGGCGAUCAGGGUCCUCUCUGUGUGGAGUCUGCAUGUUCUCCCCGUGUCUGCGUGGGUUUCCUCCGGGUUCUCCGGUUUCCUCCCACAGUCCAAAGACAUGCAGUCA